CCAACUUCUUUUACUUGCUGCAGAAAGUCCAGUCUGUUCUCAUCUUCUUCUUGGAGAGGUGUGUCUUUGUUGCCUUUCUGGACACCAGAGCUUUGUCCACAAGUCUUGGUCUAACUGCAGAAAACCUCCUUUCUGCUGCCACUCCUGCAGCUCUGCUCAUUCCACAGCAGCCUCGUCAGGAGGACG